UACGUCUAUAUCGUUUUGAAACACCGGUUCUCGUUCGAUCGCCAAAGUUAAGCUACAUUGAACCUGGUCUGUACCUAGAUGAUUAACCACUCGAGAAUACCAUGUGCU